CGGGACACGUGGUAUCCUGUCUGAAUAUGGGGGGACCAUCCUCCAAGGCUAAAUACUCCUGACUGACCGAUAGUGAACCAGUACCGUGAGGGAAAGGCGAAAAGAACCCCGGCGAGGGGAGUGAAAAAGAACCUGAAACCGUGUACGUACAAGCAGUGGGAGCCUCUUAAUGGGGUGACUGCGUACCUUUUGUAUAAUGGGUCAGCGACUUAUAUUCUGUAGCAAGGUUAACCGAAUAGGGGAGCCGAAGGGAAACCGAGUCUUAACUGGGCGUUAAGUUGCAGGGUAUAGACCCGAAACCCGGUGAUCUAGCCAUGGGCAGGUUGAAGGUUGGGUAACACUAACUGGAGGACCGAACCGACUAAUGUUGAAAAAUUAGCGGAUGACUUGUGGCUGGGGGUGAAAGGCCAAUCAAACCGGGAGAUAGCUGGUUCUCCCCGAAAGCUAUUUAGGUAGCGCCUCGUGAAUUCAUCUCCGGGGGUAGAGCACUGUUUCGGCAAGGGGGUCAUCCCGACUUACCAACCCGAUGCAAACUGCGAAUACCGGAGAAUGUUAUCACGGGAGACACACGGCGGGUGCUAACGUCCGUCGUGAAGAGGGAAACAACCCAGACCGCCAGCUAAGGUCCCAAAGUCAUGGUUAAGUGGGAAACGAUGUGGGAAGGCCCAGACAGCCAGGAUGUUGGCUUAGAAGCAGCCAUCAUUUAAAGAAAGCGUAAUAGCUCACUGGUCGAGUCGGCCUGCGCGGAAGAUGUAACGGGGCUAAACCAUGCACCGAAGCUGCGGCAGCGACACUAUGUGUUGUUGGGUAGGGGAGCGUUCUGUAAGCCUGUGAAGGUG
rnacentral:rRNA from 1 species